GCCUUGUGGUAGAACUGCAGCGCCAUCGACUCGGGGUGGCGGUAGCUCUGGAGCGGGGGGCGCCUCGCAGAAGGGUUCACCGAAGAGGCCGUCUGGGUCACCGGAGGCGAGCUGCCCUUCGAAGAGGAGAAAGGUCUUGGCCCAGAAGGAGCCCGCGGGGUCAACCGCUUGUGGGGGCACCGUGCUGGGGUUGCCCGAGGUCGUUCCUCAAGGCAGUGGCGUGGAGCGCGCACAAGGAAAAGGGAUGCCCGGGACAUCGGGCGGUGAUUCCUUCCGGAGGGCGCCUGUGCGUCCGGCAUCGAUGCGCUAGCUGUGACGUGCCUGGGCUCGGACCGAAGGCGGAGAUUUUGAGGCCCUGGUAAUGGCCGACCUCCCAGCUGGGGAGCCGGGAGCAGCUUACACCCCUCGGUGGCCGUCUCUCAAGACCAACAGUCGCCUCUGGGGCGACGGCCCGACCGCUCGGGAGUUCCUCCGGGGGGCACUGCACCCGACCAUGGCGAAAGAACUUUACUGCACCCCUACGGAAGCGCUGGUGGACCGGACGACCAAGUCAUUCGUUUGGGGCCACCAUUAUACCAUGGCGCUGAUUGAUCGGGCUCUCGACGCCGGCCGGGUGAUCGAGCGCUAGUCGGCUACUCAUGCCUCCCAACAGUUGGAGAUCCAGGAGUUGAAGACUCUUGGUGGCCCGGCAGCUGUCGCUGCGGUCGAGGAGCAUGCCUCCGCUCUUGACACAGAGGUGACGCAUUUGAAGGCCGAGCUGGAGGAGAGCCAAGCUCGCAUCCACACCUUGGACGAUGAGCUGCAGACGCUUUCGCAUGAUGUCGAGACCGCUAGAUCCAUAGCUUGGGCUGCCGAAGAGGUUCUGAAGGAGGAGCAACAGGCGCUGCCCAAGAGAAUAAAGGAGGCACUCACAGAGUACAAGUCGUCCGCUGACUUUGAGCACGGGUUGGUGAGGUUGGGACGGGUGACGUACGAGUUCGGGUACCGAGUGGCUUGUGCUCGCACUCAGGCCGAGCAUUCGGAACUGGUAUUAGAGCCGGACCCUUUCGCCGACCACCCUACGGAUUAAUCUAUGAACAUGCAGGCGAGCGUCCCCUUCGACGACGGGCCUGAGACUCCACCUCCGAGCUGACCUGUAUUUGCUUUUCUCGAUUUUGGUGGGGUUGGCCCUCGAGAUUGUUUUGCUCGAUCGCCACAUGUACUUUUUUCUUUAAUAAGAAAAUCUGAGUUUUGGA